AUGGGUUGGAGGGGGGCCAUGCUGAUAGCCCAAAAGUUCUCAAGAAGCUAUAAUCGAGUGUUUACUAGGAAGAUGGGCUACAGAGUUCGAUCGGUAGCGGGAGCGGAGAGCAGAUCCCAGAGAGCCCUGAGCAGCCCAUCACACACCCGGAGGAGCCGCAGCCUGCCCGGUCACCAUCGCCGCAACCGUGAGCAGCUGGGCCAGACCCAGCAGCCGCCCCCACCCCACGCCACCCUCAGCCCUGCUGACACCGAGCCCGGCACCGCGGAAGCAGAGCAGGGAGCUGUGGCCCGGGCGACCUCACAGAGGCUGCGCCUGCCGCCUGCCGGAAGGGACAAAAAGGUCAUAGCAGCAAAGGUUUUGGGAAGAGUAAAAUGGUUUAAGGUAAGAAGCAGAUAUGGCUUGAUCAACAGGAAUGACACCAAGGAAGAUGUACUUGUACACCAGACUGCCCUAAAGAAGAAUAACCCCAGGAAGGACCUUCGCCGUGUAGGAGAUGGAGAGACUACGGAGUUUGGUGUUGCUGAAGGAGAAAAGGGUGCGGAGGCAGCGAAUGUUACAGGCCCUGGUGGAGCUCCAGUUGCAGGCAGUAAAUACGCAGCAGACCGUAACCAUUGUAGACGCUAUCUACGUCGUAGGGGUCCUCCACGCAAUUACCAGCAGAAUUACCAGAAUAGUGAGAGUGGGGAAAAGAAUGGAUCGGAGAGCGCUCCCGAAGGCCAGGCCCAGCCACGCCGGCCCCACCACAGGCGAAGGUGCCCACCUCACUGCAUGCAGAGACCCCGUGGGCGUCGUCCACAGUACUCCAACCCUCCUGUGCAAGGAGAAGUGAUGGAGGGUGCUGACAACCAGGGUGCAGGAGAACAAGGCAGACAAGUGAGACAGAAUAUGUAUCGAGGUUAUAGACCACGAUUCCGUAGGGACCCUCCUCGCCAAAGACAGCCGAGAGAGGAUGGCAAUGUAGAAGAUAAGGAAAAUCGAGGAGAUGAGACCCAAGGUCAGCAGCCACCUCAACGACGGUACCGUCGCAACUUCAAUUACCAACGCAGACGCCCAGAAAGCCCUAAACCACAAGACGGCAAAGAGACAAAAGCAGCCGAUCCACCAGCUGAGAAUUCGUCCGCUCGGGAGGCUGAGCAGGGCGGGGCUGAGUAA